rnacentral:tRNA from 1 species
UGCGGCUGGAUCACCUCCUUUCUAGAGACAAAAAAAGAAGCUAUUUUUUAAUUUAGAUACUAAAUUAAAAAAACUUACUCUCGCUGUUAAUUCAAAAAAAAAGAAAAGGCUUAAAAUACAGAGUCUCGUAGCUCAGCUGGUUAGAGUACUACACUGAUAAUGUAGGGGUCGGCAGUUCGAGUCUGCCCGGGACUACUUUUUAAAGCACAAGGAAAUUCUAGAAGCGAAUUUUGAAUUAUAAAUUUUAAAUGAUGAAUUUGAAAAAUAAUUCAAAAAAAUAAUUCAACAUCCAAAAUAGAAAAAAGAUUGGGGGAUUAGCUCAGCUGGCUAGAGCGCCUGCCUUGCACGCAGGAGGUCAUCGGUUCGACUCCGAUAUUCUCCACCAAAUUGAUUUGAAAAUGAAUUGAUUUGAAAAUUUGAAAAUGAUCAUCAUUUUCAAAUUAACGAAUCUUAAAAUCUUCAAAUUGAGUAAAGUUCAUUGACAUAUUGAGAUAAACAUACAAACAAGUAGAAAGAACACUUUAGUAAUUAGUAAAGAGUGAAUAGUAAUUAGUCUUAGGACUAGUCACUAAUUACUUAGAGCUAAUCACUAAAAAAAAGAAAACAAUAAGCAAAAUAAGGGCGUAUGGGGGAUGCCUAG